CCUACGGGGGGCUGCAGUGAGGAAUCUUGGGCAAUGGGCGAAAGCCUGACCCAGCGACGCCGCGUGGAGGAAGAAGGCCUUCGGGUCGUAAACUCCUGUUUGGGGAGAAGAACAAGAGAGAAGUUAAUAGCUUCUCUCUCUGACGGUAUCCCCGGAGAAAGCUCCGGCUAAUUACGUGCCAGCAGCCGCGGUAAUACGUAAGGAGCGAGCGUUGUCCGGAUUUACUGGGCGUAAAGGGCUCGUAGGUGGUUUCUUAGGUCUCACGUGAAAUUCCCUGGCUCAACCAGGGAGGGUCGUGGGAAACCGAGAGGCUAGAGGGCAGGAGAGGAGAGUGGAAUUCCCGGUGUAGCGGUGAAAUGCGUAGAGAUCGGGAGGAACACCAGUGGUGAAGACGGCUCUCUGGACUGUCCCUGACACUGAGGAGCGAAAGCCAGGGGAGCAAACCGGCUUAGAUACCCGAGUAGUC
rnacentral:rRNA from 1 species